UAUAUUAUAAAUUUAUUGUGUAAAUAUAUUUUCUCUCUUGUUAUUGGUAACAUUUUUGCUUUAAAGUAGAUAAAUGUCUCAAUUAUUCAUGUGUCAAAAAAGUUAAUGGAAUCUCACCCACCUUUUAUUCCUCGGGCCUCUACCAUGUUAAACUUUUCCAAACAUGGGAGGUCUAGUUUUACUAACUUCUUCUUCUUUCCACUUCUACAUUUCUUUCAACUUCAAAUAAAUAAUUCAACAUUUAACAUAUGUGUUUUGCAACUUACAAUUACAUGUACAUAGGCAAUGUACUUUUAAAUACUUCGAACAAUAUUCAUUUAUUAUGUACUUGUAUAUAUGACAAACUUAACAUUUCUAAUCUUCUAAAAUUUAUAUAUAUAUAUAUAUAUAUAUAUAUAAAUACACACACACCAGUUCCAUUGGAUAUACCAAGCCCUAAUUUAUUUUGAUAAUACUCAACACCUAUCGACCCUGAUUAUGUCUUGUGUUACAUCUUCCUCCAUCUCUAUUCUCAUUAAUGGUACUAGAACGGAUUUCUUCCAACCCACGCGUGGUAUUCAACAAGAUGGAUUCCAAUUAUGUUUGGACGACAAGGUAUUCCUAUCUCCCAUGUUCUUUCUGCGCAUGAUAUUAUUUUUGUCUCCAAAAUAACCCACCUAAGCUGUAACACCAUCAUCGACACCCUCAAUACAUUCUCAUCCUUUUCAGGGCAAAAAAUAAACUACAACAAAUCUCACGUCUUCCUAUCGAGAAAUUCAUCUCAGGAAGAUAAUGAGUAUGUUACUAGUUCCCUACAUAUGAAAGAAGGAACUGUAAUGGGAAAAUAUCUUGGAUAUCCUCUUACCCAUACUAGUUAUCAAAGUAGGGAUUUACAAUUGCUCAUCGACAACUUUAAUGAGUGUCUGGCAGGAUGGAAAACAAAAUUCCUAACCAUGGCAGGACGCACUACUCUUAUCCGAUCCACUCUUAAUAGCCUCGCAAACCAUGUCAUGCAAUUUACUGAACUUCCAAAACAGGUGGCUUUUCACCUACUGAAUAACACUAAGCUAAGGCACACAUAUAGGGAAAA